UACAGAGGUCUCAAGCGUUGUUCGGAUUCAUUGGGCGUAAAGGGUGCGUAGGCGGCGGGGUAAGUCAGGUGUGAAAUCUCGGGGCUCAACUCCGAAACUGCACUUGAUACUGCCUCGCUUGAGUACUGGAGAGGAGACUGGAAUUUACGGUGUAGCAGUGAAAUGCGUAGAUAUCGUAAGGAAGACCAGUGGCGAAGGCGAGUCUCUGGACAGUUACUGACGCUGAGGCACGAAGGCCAGGGGAGCAAACGGG
rnacentral:rRNA from 1 species